rnacentral:rRNA from 1 species
CAGUAGCCGCGGUAAUACGUAGGGUGCGAGCGUUAAUCGGAAUUACUGGGCGUAAAGCGUGCGUAGGUGGUGGUUUAAGUCCGUUGUGAAAGCCCUGGGCUCAACCUGGGAAUUGCAGUGGAUACUGGAUCACUAGAGUGUGGUAGAGGAUAGUGGAAUUUCCGGUGUAGCAGUGAAAUGCGUAGAGAUCGGAAGGAACAUCUGUGGCGAAGGCGACUAUCUGGGCCAACACUGACACUGAGGCACGAAAGCGUGGGGAGCAAACAGGAUUAGAUACCCCUGUAGUCCCUGUCUCUUAUAC